AUGCUGCAUGAGUCAAGGCCAGAUCCGUGCGGGCGUAGCCGGCCGUCGCGGGAGCGUGGGAACUGGGAAGCCGCGUUGGUCGUCCUCCAGCGCGGACGCCGCGGGAAGCAGCACCUGGAGAAGCAGAUGCCUGGAGAAGCAGAUGCCGCGAGCGACCGUAUGGAGUCAGGGGCCGAGGCGCCGCCGCUUCCGCCGAGGGCGGUUUCCGGGCUGCACGCACGGGCCGCCACAACCGAAUCGGGAUGGAGUGCAGUGACCGGCGUCGCCACGGAGGCUGACCACUGCGCCGGAGCGACGCCGGGCAUGGGCUCACCUUGCCGAGGAGAUGUCGGUGGUCCACCGUCGUCCGUCGACGGUAAGUGCCAAGGCCGCUGUUCACCACUUGUUUUCCUCCUCUUAUGUCUUCGAUGGAAUUCGCUUAGGCUCGUACCAUAUUUGUUCUUGAAGCUCUCUUGGAUGCUGGAUGGAAUUUCUCUUCCCGUGCCUCGGGCUGAUGCGGGAGGUCGCAACCGCGCGACCACACAUCGGCUUCAUACCUGA
rnacentral:rRNA from 1 species